AAAAAGUUACUUAAGAGCGUAUGGCGAAUGCCUAGGCUCACAGAGGCGAUGAAGGACGUGAUAAGCUGCGAUAAGUUUCGGGUAGGUGCAAAUAACCGUCUGAUCCGAGAAUUUCCGAAUGGGGCAACCCAGCAAGUUGAAGACUUGUUAUCCUUUUUAGGAGGCAAACCCGGAGAACUGAAACAUCUAAGUACCCGGAGGAAGAGAAAACAAUAGUGAUUCCCGUAGUAGCGGCGAGCGAACUGGGAAUAGCCCAAACCAAUUUUGUUACGGCAAAAUUGGGGUUGUAGGACUACAUUGGUUCAUGUGCACUGAAGUAGAAUAUACUGGAAAGUAUAACCAUAGAGGGUGAUAGUCCCGUAAACGUAAGGUUGCAUUAUGACGAGUAGUAUCCUGAGUAGCACGGAACAUGUGAAAUUUUGUGUGAAUCUGCCGGAACCAUCCGGUAAGGCUAAAUACU
rnacentral:rRNA from 1 species